rnacentral:rRNA from 1 species
GAUGAACGCUGGUGGCGUGCCUAAUACAUGCAAGUCGAGCGAACGGACGAGAAGCUUGCUUUUCUGAUGUUAGCGGCGGACGGGUGAGUAACACGUGGAUAACCUACCUAUAAGACUGGGAUAACUUCGGGAAACCGGAGCUAAUACCGGAUAAUAUUUUGAACCGCAUGGUUCAAAAGUGAAAGACGGUCUUGCUGUCACUUAUAGAUGGAUCCGCGCUGCAUUAGCUAGUUGGUGAGGUAACGGCUUACCAAGGCAACGAUGCAUAGCCGACCUGAGAGGGUGAUCGGCCACACUGGAACUGAGACACGGUCCAGACUCCUACGGGAGGCAGCAGUAGGGAAUCUUCCGCAAUGGGCGAAAGCCUGACGGAGCAACGCCGCGUGAGUGAUGAAGGUCUUCGGAUCGUAAAACUCUGUUAUUAGGGAAGAACAUAUGUGUAAGUAACUGUGCACAUCUUGACGGUACCUAAUCAGAAAGCCACGGCUAACUACGUG